rnacentral:lncRNA from 14 species
CCACAGGAGAGAAAGUCCUUGUGUUGUGUUCCUUCAUUUGCCCCAGGGUGCUGUCCUGGAUUAAACAGGAACAGCCCAGGAACAGAGCCUCGGGAGCAGCGGGUGUAGGAGAUGGAGGUGCCCUGCAAAGGGUAUGGCUGUGGCUGGCACAUUGUAAUCACCAGGAUGGUGUUCUCUGGUGGAGCUGAAAGUCAGAACUUUGUUGCUUUAUGACAACACUACCGUAUGGUACCUGGAAUGGCUGAGAUCAGAUGGAGUUAACGUGUACGGGGCUUUCAUAAAGGUUUCCAGUGCAAGCUAUUCAUAAAAGUGCAACUCUCAGCUGAGAUUUCCAAUUAGCAGAGAUGUGUGGAGCUAAUGAAUGACCAGCACAGACAAUGUGCUGUGUGCAUGGGGCUUGCACAGUGUCCCACUGGAGCCUCUGGGCCUCAUGGGGAGCAGGGGCUGAAGUGGGGAUGUAGCACCUGGAGCAUCCCUGCCACCCACCCUUGGAGGAGGAGGAGGCAGCAGGACGAAGAGCUCUCAGUCUGUGUGUCCUAAGCACCUCCCUAUACUCUUUUGUCUCUGAUGUGUGGAUGUUUUCCUGGAUGUGAUAUUGGGACCCUGGUUUUCUGGGAGCUGCAGGCUGGCACAAGGGGCAGAGAGCUGCGGCAGUCCGAGAUGUGCUGGUCUUGUUCCCUUUGGAAAAGCUCGGGGAAGGACAUCGUGUGCUGGAGCAGAGCCUCAGAGGCACAGAGGGAGCAAUCACACUGAAAUAGAGGGCUCUUCCCCCUCCUUUCUGUAACGAGUGAGGGGGAGGAAGACUCGCUUCAGAAAUGAACCUUUUUCUCCCAACCUCAUGGUCCAGGAUUUCUCAUGGAAGGAAGGAAGGGCUGACACCACUGGCCUGUAGCAGCAGGGGAAAUGGCAAGAGGCAGAGAAAGCAGCUCCAUGAGGCUGGAGGGGGAUUGGUACCCACUGUCCCAGAUGAGCAGAGCUCGGAUCUGUUCUUUUCACACCUUCCUGCCUGAGGUUAUGCCUAUGCAGGACACCUGGGAGAAGCCAUCAUCAGCCCUGUGCCCGCAUCCUGCUUCAGGAGCAGCCGGAGGAGCCCUCCUGGUAUGGAUGUGCUUGGACCAGGCUUUCCCACCAGCCCCAGCAGGGUCCUACCUUCAUAAACCUCGAUGGUGUAUGGGUGGGCUGUUGUCUGGGACCCUCUUUGUUUCUGGAGCCUAUCCUAUACCCAACACACUGUCUGUCCUCGGAGCUUGCUCAAGAGGCUGUGCACUCUCUCGGCUGCACCCAGAAGUGAUGCUGGGAGAAGAGCAGGAAUAA